AGUGUGGGUGAUGAAAGCUUGGCCUUAGGUGGGACCUGUUUUUGUGCCGUUUUGGUUCAAAGCUUUAGGCUCAUCAAUGCUGGGACAUGUCAUAGUUACACUGACACACU